GGGUCAGUAGGUUGGUCGUGCCACCGGUACGUACUGGUCUCACUGAAUCCUCCUUCCUGAAGAACCGUAAUGCCAUUAAUUUGGUGUUGCGGGGGAACAGGACUGUUACUUUGAAAAAAUUAGAGUGUUUAAAGCAAGCUAACGCUUGAAUACAUUAGCAUGGAAUAAUGAAAUAGGACGAUCGAUCCUAUUUUGUUGGUUUCUAGGAUUGACGUA
rnacentral:rRNA from 1 species